rnacentral:rRNA from 1 species
GAUGAACGCUGGCGGCGUGCCUAAUACAUGCAAGUCGAGCGAACGGACGAGAAGCUUGCUUUUCUGAUGUUAGCGGCGGACGGGUGAGUAACACGUGGAUAACCUACCUAUAAGACUGGGAUAACUUCGGGAAACCGGAGCUAAUACCGGAUAAUAUUUUGAACCGCAUGGUUCAAAAGUGAAAGACGGUCUUGCUGUCACUUAUAGAUGGAUCCGCGCUGCAUUAGCUAGUUGGUAAGGUAACGGCUUACCAAGGCAACGAUGCAUAGCCGACCUGAGAGGGUGAUCGGCCACACUGGAACUGAGACACGGUCCAGACUCCUACGGGAGGCAGCAGUAGGGAAUCUUCCGCAAUGGGCGAAAGCCUGACGGAGCAACGCCGCGUGAGUGAUGAAGGUCUUCGGAUCGUAAAACUCUGUUAUUAGGGAAGAACAUAUGUGUAAGUAACUGUGCACAUCUUGACGGUACCUAAUCAGAAAGCCACGGCUAACUACGUGCCAGCAGCCGCGGUAAUACGUAGGUGGCAAGCGUUAUCCGGAAUUAUUGGGCGUAAAGCGCGCGUAGGCGGUUUUUUAAGUCUGAUGUGAAAGCCCACGGCUCAACCGUGGAGGGUCAUUGGAAACUGGAAAACUUGAGUGCAGAAGAGGAAAGUGGAAUUCCAUGUGUAGCGGUGAAAUGCGCAAAGAUGUGGAGGAACACCAGUGGCGAAGGCGACUUUCUGGUCUGUAACUGACGCUGAUGUGCGAAAGCGUGGGGAUCAAACAGGAUUAGAUACCCUGGUAGUCCACGCCGUAAACGAUGAGUGCUAAGUGUUAGGGGGUUUCCGCCCCUUAGUGCUGCAGCUAACGCAUUAAGCACUCCGCCUGGGGAGUACGACCGCAAGGUUGAAACUCAAAGGAAUUGACGGGGGCCCGCACAAGCGGUGGAGCAUGUGGUUUAAUUCGAAGCAACGCGAAGAACCUUACCAAAUCUUGACAUCCUUUGACAACUCUAGAGAUAGAGCCUUCCCCUUCGGGGGACAAAGUGACAGGUGGUGCAUGGUUGUCGUCAGCUCGUGUCGUGAGAUGUUGGGUUAAGUCCCGCAACGAGCGCAACCCUUAAGCUUAGUUGCCAUCAUUAAGUUGGGCACUCUAAGUUGACUGCCGGUGACAAACCGGAGGAAGGUGGGGAUGACGUCAAAUCAUCAUGCCCCUUAUGAUUUGGGCUACACACGUGCUACAAUGGACAAUACAAAGGGCAGCGAAACCGCGAGGUCAAGCAAAUCCCAUAAAGUUGUUCUCAGUUCGGAUUGUAGUCUGCAACUCGACUACAUGAAGCUGGAAUCGCUAGUAAUCGUAGAUCAGCAUGCUACGGUGAAUACGUUCCCGGGUCU